rnacentral:tRNA from 1 species
AGGGAUGUAGCGCAGCUUGGUAGCGUGUUUGUUUUGGGUACAAAAUGUCACAGGUUCAAAUCCUCUCUACUUA